AGUAAUCGCGGAUCAGCACGCCGCGGUGAAUACGUUCCCGGGCCUUGUACACACCGCCCGUCACGCCAUGGGAGUCGGCAGCACCCGAAGUCGGUGUCCCAACCCCGCACCCACUUUGGUCUUAUGGAGAAAGCGUUACCAUAAGUCUCGUGAGGCCAAAGUGGGUGCGGGGAGGGAGCCGCCGAAGGUGAGGCCGAUGACUGGGGCGAAGUCGUAACAAGGUAGCCGUACCGGAAGGUGCGGCUGGAUCACCUCCUUUCUA
rnacentral:rRNA from 1 species